CGGAUGUAGCCAAGGGGAUCAGGGCAGG
rnacentral:tRNA from 1 species